UGAACGCUAGCUACAGGCUUAACACAUGCAAGUCGAGGGGCAGCAUUUCAGUUUGCUUGCAAACUGGAGAUGGCGACCGGCGCACGGGUGAGUAACACGUAUCCAACCUGCCGAUAACUCGGGGAUAGCCUUUCGAAAGAAAGAUUAAUACCCGAUGGUAUAAUCAGACCGCGUGGUCUUGUUAUUAAAGAAUUUCGGUUAUCGAUGGGGAUGCGUUCCAUUAGGCAGUUGGUGAGGUAACGGCUCACCAAACCUUCGAUGGAUAGGGGUUCUGAGAGGAAGGUCCCCCACAUUGGAACUGAGACACGGUCCAAACUCCUACGGGAGGCAGCAGUGAGGAAUAUUGGUCAAUGGGCGCAGGCCUGAACCAGCCAAGUAGCGUGAAGGAUGACUGCCCUAUGGGUUGUAAACUUCUUUUAUAUGGGAAUAAAGUUUUCCACGUGUGGAAUUUUGUAUGUACCAUAUGAAUAAGGAUCGGCUAACUCCGUGCCAGCAGCCGCGGUAAUACGGAGGAUCCGAGCGUUAUCCGGAUUUAUUGGGUUUAAAGGGAGCGUAGGUGGACAGUUAAGUCAGUUGUGAAAGUUUGCGGCUCAACCGUAAAAUUGCAGUUGAUACUGGCUGUCUUGAGUACAGUAGAGGUGGGCGGAAUUCGUGGUGUAGCGGUGAAAUGCUUAGAUAUCACGAAGAACUCCGAUUGCGAAGGCAGCUCACUGGACUGCAACUGACACUGAUGCUCGAAAGUGUGGGUAUCAAACAGGAUUAGAUACCCUGGUAGUCCACACAGUAAACGAUGAAUACUCGCUGUUUGCGAUAUACAGUAAGCGGCCAAGCGAAAGCAUUAAGUAUUCCACCUGGGGAGUACGCCGGCAACGGUGAAACUCAAAGGAAUUGACGGGGGCCCGCACAAGCGGAGGAACAUGUGGUUUAAUUCGAUGAUACGCGAGGAACCUUACCCGGGCUUAAAUUGCAUUUGAAUAUAUUGGAAACAGUAUAGCCGUAAGGCAAAUGUGAAGGUGCUGCAUGGUUGUCGUCAGCUCGUGCCGUGAGGUGUCGGCUUAAGUGCCAUAACGAGCGCAACCCUUAUCUUUAGUUACUAACAGGUCAUGCUGAGGACUCUAGAGAGACUGCCGUCGUAAGAUGUGAGGAAGGUGGGGAUGACGUCAAAUCAGCACGGCCCUUACGUCCGGGGCUACACACGUGUUACAACGGGGGGUACAGAAGGCAGCUACCUGGUGGCAGGAUGCUAAUCCCAAAAGCCUCUCUCAGUUCGGAUCGAAGUCUGCAACCCGACUUCGUGAAGCUGGAUUCGCUAGUAAUCGCGCAUCAGCCAUGGCGCGGUGAAUACGUUCCCGGGCCUUGUACACACCGCCCGUCAAGCCAUGAAAGCCGGGGGUACCUGAAGUACGUAACCGCAAGGAGCGUCCUAGGGUAAAACUGGUAAUUGGGGCUAAG
rnacentral:rRNA from 1 species